rnacentral:rRNA from 1 species
CUACGGGUUGCUCCAGUCUCGAAUCAUUCACAAUGGGCGAAAGCCUGAUGGUGCAACGUCGCGUGGGGGAUGACGGUCUUCGGAUUGUAAACCCCUGUCGCCGGGGAACAAAACCUGAGUUCAUAGCUCAGCUUGAGUUAACCCGGAAAGGAAGUAGUGGCAAACUCCGUGCCAGCAGCCGCGGUAAUACGGAGACUACGAGCGUUACUCGGAUUCCCUGGGCGUAAAGGGUGCGUAGGCGGUUAGAUAUGUCAGGUGUGAAAUCCCGAAGCUUAACUUCGGAACUGCGCCUGAAACUAUCUGACUAGAGUUUUGGAGGGGUAAGCGGAAUUCCAGGUGUAGCGGUGAAAUGCGUAGAUAUCUGGAGGAACACCAAAGGCGAAGGCAGCUUACUGGACAAAAACUGACGCUGAGGCACGAAAGCGUGGGGAGCAAAAGGGAUUAGAUACCCCCGUAGUC